rnacentral:rRNA from 1 species
GAUGAACGCUAGCGGCAGGCUUAAUACAUGCAAGUCGAGGGGUAGCAAGAUUGUAGCAAUACAAUUGUUGACGACCGGCAAACGGGUGCGGAGCACGUACACAACCUUCCUACAAGUGGGGAAUAGCCCAGAGAAAUUUGGAUUAAUACCCCGUAACAUAGCGAUGUGGCAUCACAUUGCUAUUAUAGCUUCGGCGCUUGUUGAUGGGUGUGCGGCUGAUUAGAUAAUUGGCGGGGUAACGGCCCACCAAGUCUACGAUCAGUAGCUGAUGUGAGAGCAUGAUCAGCCACACGGGCACUGAGACACGGGCCCGACUCCUACGGGAGGCGGCAGUAAGGAAUAUUGGACAAUGGACGCAAGUCUGAUCCAGCCAUGCCGCGUGAAGGAUUAAGGUCCUCUGGAUUGUAAACUUCUUUUAUAAGGGACGAAAAAAGGUCUUUCUAGAUCGUCUGACGGUACCUUAUGAAUAAGCACCGGCUAACUCCGUGCCAGCAGCCGCAGUAACAC